UACAGAGGGUGCAAGCGUUAAUCGGAAUUACUGGGCGUAAAGCGUGCGCAGACGGUUGCGUAAGUCAGAUGUGAAAGCCCCGGGCUCAACCUGGGAAUUGCAUUUGAGACUGCGUAGCUAGGGUGCGGAAGAGGGAAGCGGAAUUUCCGGUGUAGCGGUGAAAUGCGUAGAUAUCUGGAGGAACACCGGUGGCGAAAGCGGCUCACUGGAUCGAUACUGACGCUGAGGUGCGAAAGCUAGGGUAGCAAACGGGAUUAAGAAACCCGUGGUAACGU
rnacentral:rRNA from 1 species